UACGUAGGUGGCAAGCGUUAUCCGGAAUUAUUGGGCGUAAAGAGCGCGCAGGCGGUCGUAUAAGUCGCGUGUGAAAGCCCCCGGCUCAACUGGGGAGGGUCACGCGAUACUGUUCGACUCGAAGGCAGGAGAGGGAAGUGGAAUUCCCGGUGUAGUGGUGAAAUGCGUAGAUAUCGGGAGGAACACCAGUGGCGAAGGCGACUUCCUGGCCUGUUCUUGACGCUGAGGCGCGAAAGCUAGGGUAGCAAACGGG
rnacentral:rRNA from 1 species